ACACAUGCAAGUCGAGGGGCAGCGGGAUUGAAGCUUGCUUCAAUUGCCGGCGACCGGCGCACGGGUGAGUAACGCGUAUCCAACCUUCCGUACACUCAGGGAUAGCCUUUCGAAAGAAAGAUUAAUACCUGAUGGUAUGAUGAGAUUGCAUGAUAGCAUCAUUAAAGAUUCAUCGGUGUACGAUGGGGAUGCGUUCCAUUAGGUGGUAGGCGGGGUAACGGCCCACCUAGCCUACGAUGGAUAGGGGUUCUGAGAGGAAGGUCCCCCACAUUGGAACUGAGACACGGUCCAAACUCCUACGGGAGGCAGCAGUGAGGAAUAUUGGUCAAUGGACGAGAGUCUGAACCAGCCAAGUAGCGUGAAGGAUGAAGGUCCUACGGAUUGUAAACUUCUUUUAUAAGGGAAUAAAACCUCCCACGUGUGGGAGCUUGUAUGUACCUUAUGAAUAAGCAUCGGCUAACUCCGUGCCAGCAGCCGCGGUAAUACGGAGGAUGCGAGCGUUAUCCGGAUUUAUUGGGUUUAAAGGGAGCGCAGACGGGUCGUUAAGUCAGCUGUGAAAGUUUGGGGCUCAACCUUAAAAUUGCAGUUGAUACUGGCGUCCUUGAGUGCGGUUGAGGUGUGCGGAAUUCGUGGUGUAGCGGUGAAAUGCUUAGAUAUCACGAAGAACUCCGAUUGCGAAGGCAGCACACUAAGCCGUAACUGACGUUCAUGCUCGAAAGUGUGGGUAUCAAACAGGAUUAGAUACCCUGGUAGUCCACACGGUAAACGAUGGAUACUCGCUGUUGGCGAUAUACUGUCAGCGGCUUAGCGAAAGCGUUAAGUAUCCCACCUGGGGAGUACGCCGGCA
rnacentral:rRNA from 1 species